AAAACGGGACUUAAUCGCGUAAAACUUACGUUUUAUAUUUAACCCGACGUUUCGGACAUGACAUUACGUCCGUGGUCACGGGUAGACGGGUAGACGGGUCUACCCGUGACCACGGACGUAAUGUCAUGUCCGAAACGUCGGGUUAAAUAUAAAACGUAAGUUUUACGCGAUUAAGUCCCGUUUUAAUUUAAUAAUAUCAUUUUGCUUAUAAUAAUCUGAGUAAUCACAGUGAAUGGUUUGACAGUAUUUCAGCUAACAUGU